rnacentral:rRNA from 1 species
UACCGGUACCUCCGCAAACGUAAGGGCCUGCUACAGGUGGAAUGAGGACUAAACUCUCUAUCUUUCCACUAUUGACUUUGACUACUGGUUAAUCACUUAAGAACCGUAUUCCGGUACCUGAGUACCUAGUAAUAUUUGUGAGUAUCUCGAAGUGCACCUAAGGUACGAUGGCCGCACUUCUCCUACAGUCCCGUGCCGGUACUACUCGGUAUGAUGGAGGUGCGGUUCGUGUACAUGUUGAACGUGUCCUACUUCGUAGUCUUCGACUGACGUACCUGAAGCCACGACCCUCGGCGACACCUCUUUGGGACGUCACACUAGGUUAACAACAAACGCAAGGAGAACCGUGGACAACUGCGGAGAAAACGUGAAGCGUAGUGAAAUAUACGACAGUCUAUU